rnacentral:rRNA from 1 species
AUUGAACGCUGGCGGCAGGCCUAACACAUGCAAGUCGAGCGGAUGAAGGGAGCUUGCUCCUGGAUUCAGCGGCGGACGGGUGAGUAAUGCCUAGGAAUCUGCCUGGUAGUGGGGGAUAACGUCCGGAAACGGGCGCUAAUACCGCAUACGUCCUGAGGGAGAAAGUGGGGGAUCUUCGGACCUCACGCUAUCAGAUGAGCCUAGGUCGGAUUAGCUAGUUGGUGGGGUAAAGGCCUACCAAGGCGACGAUCCGUAACUGGUCUGAGAGGAUGAUCAGUCACACUGGAACUGAGACACGGUCCAGACUCCUAUGGGAGGCAGCAGUGGGGAAUAUUGGACAAUGGGCGAAAGCCUGAUCCAGCCAUGCCGCGUGUGUGAAGAAGGUCUUCGGAUUGUAAAGCACUUUGAGUUGGGAGGAAGGGCAGUAAGUUAAUACCUUGCUGUUUUGACGUUACCAACAGAAUAAGCACCGGCUAACUUCGUG